rnacentral:rRNA from 1 species
CAGCCGCCGCGGUAAUACGUAGGGUGCAAGCGUUAAUCGGAAUUACUGGGCGUAAAGCGUGCGCAGGCGGUUUGUUAAGACAGAUGUGAAAUCCCCGGGCUCAACCUGGGAACUGCAUUUGUGACUGGCAAGCUAGAGUGUGGCAGAGGGGGGUGGAAUUCCGCGUGUAGCAGUGAAAUGCGCAGAUAUGCGGAGGAACACCGAUGGCGAAGGCAGCCCCCUGGGCCAACACUGACGCUCAUGCACGAAAGCGUGGGGAGCAAACAGGAUUAGAUACCCCUGUAGUCCCUGUCUCUUAUAC